CUCCUUUGGUAGCUAACUGGCUGCGCGGGAGGCAGACGCCACAGUAACAAUUUAGUAUCUGCGAGAGAAAACACAGAUUAAGACCAUGAUUCACAAAGUAUCAUUAUAUGUCACUUUAUCCUUCAACAAUUAGGAUUAUGGAGAAAACAACUGCCUUCUCAGCACAAACAGUUCUAUUCUGCCACAACGCUCCCACACUGCCCUGUUGAUACAGCCCUGCAGAGCCUCGCUGU